AGAGUUUGAUCAUGGCUCAGAAUCAACGCCGGCGGCGUGCCUAACACAUGCAAGCCGAACGCGAAAGUCCCGCAAGGGAUGAGUAGAGUGGCAAACGGGUGAGUAACACGUGGGUGACCUGCCCUCGAGCGGGGGAUAANGUCCCGAAAGGGACGCUAAUACCGCAUGACAUCCUGCCUUUGAACAGGCGGAGAUCGAAGNUGGGGNUCGCAAGACCUAGCACUCGAGGAGGGGCCCGCGCCUGAUUAGCUAGUUGGUGAGGUAACGGCUCACCAAGGCUUCGAUCAGUAUCCGGCCUGAGAGGGCGGACGGACACACUGGGACUGAGACACGGCCCAGACUCCUACGGGAGGCAGCAGUGGGGAAUUGUUCGCAAUGGGCGCAAGCCUGAUGACGCAACGCCGCGUGGAGGAUGAAGACCUUCGGGUCGUAAACUCCUUUCGAUCGAGACGAAUGGCCUCCUUGGUGAACAAUGGCCCNGGA
rnacentral:rRNA from 1 species